rnacentral:lncRNA from 1 species
AUGAAAUCUCCCUGCAGUGUGAACAGCUGAACUUAAUAUAGAGGAAAUUUCUCAAAGAAGUGCCCUGGUGCCUAGCAAAUGUGCCUGUCAAAAAGGGUUGCUCCUUUCUGGGUAUUUGUUUUAGCAAGUCCCAGCCUACAGGAUUACACAGAGUGGCUGAGGAUAGAUUUCUGCUUUAAGCAGGUUUUCAUUUUGUAGCUUUGAAAAUUACACUUUUCAUUAGCAUAAAUGUGACAGCAGAUUAAAGAAUGAAAUUCUAUUUAACAAAAAGAACUUCAAGCUAAUAAUUCUUCAGAUAACCAAGAUACGAAGUUCCGAAGAUCAGCACAAUUUCUUCUAACAGGGUCUCCAUGCAAAGAACAGAAGUCACACUGUGCCUGCCAAAGUCCAGAAGCUUUCCUGCACUGUCAGGCACAUACCAUGUCAAGCAUCCAAGCAGUUGGAGUUGAAAGAAGAAAGAGGGGAGAAGGAACGAAUGACAAGCAGCUCCCAGUGAUCAUAGAGCAGCUGCCUGAAGUUCCCCCCCAGAUGCACAGGACCCAACACAGCACCGAGUUGGGCAUGCAACCCUGCAGAUCACAAGGAGGGAUUGAUUCAAGGUCCCAGGACUCGUCACUAGAAAGGCAUCUGGCCCCAGCACACGACAUGCUACAGAAGAAAAUCCUGCCAUAGCAUCCUCCUCACAGCACCAACAAGGAUGCCCAAAUCUCCUGAGACACAAAGCACACAUCAUAUGGCCAAGAGCCACAGCACACCCCCACACACCUUGGACAGCUGACAGCUGAGGCAGAUCCAGAAGUGGUGAAGAUGAUUCACAAAAUGGAAGACUGACAUUCACAACUCUCCAGGCUCCUGCUCCGACCCAAGCUAACUGCAGCUGGCCAGCACAACGUGGGGGCAAUUUCAGCACGCUCAUCUGGUCUGCCUUGUCCACACCCAGAGAAACAGAUUAUUCAGCAGCCCCCACUACCACAGGCUCUUUUGAGGGGCUACAUUUGGACUGUUCAAAGCUAUAAAAGAUUCAGCAACCAGCAAGUCUGCAUGUGUUGUAAAUGAGCUGCUUGUCCUUCUGGUUUAAUUUUCUUUAGAG